ACUCCUACGGGAGGCAGCAGUGAGGAAUAUUGGUCAAUGGACGCAAGUCUGAACCAGCCAUGCCGCGUGAAGGAUGAAGGCCUUCUGGGUUGUAAACUUCUUUUAUCUGGGAAGAAAAUUGCGGUUUCUACUGCAACCGACGGUACCAGAGGAAUAAGCACCGGCUAACUCCGUGCCAGCAGCCGCGGUAAUAC
rnacentral:rRNA from 1 species